CCUGUCACUGCUUCUGGUAAUGUUUGAUUCUUCUUUCCAAGAGCUCAUGAGGGGGCCAUGGAGUUAAGACAACCUAAGAGAGGAGGAGCAGAGUGCCAGUCACCAAGGUCAUCCUUCCUUUGCUGAAAAUAUCCAAGGAUCUCUGCUUACCCUCGAAUUACUUCCACCUCAACUGAUUACAUAUCAUUUGAAGGGAACAUAAUUAUUCUCAGUAGUGAUGAACCACCCCUAAUUUAUGAAGCUUGUAAACAUUUGGAUACUAUGACUUUCAGGUUGCAGAUAUUACUGUCUACCCCACAGUGGGCAGCCACCGAGUAUUCAGAGCAUAUGUUGUCAACAAAAAGUUACAUCACAGCUGCCAGCAGGUGAGAAGGCUGUGUGCAACAGAUCUAUGCAAGGAAGAGAGCCCUACAGGGGUGCAGCUGGGGAGCAAGUGGCCAGGGCUGUCCCCAUCCAGGGCCUGGUCUUGAGAUCCAGAAGCGGCA
ensembl:lncRNA